GGAAUGGUGGCUUAGUGGUUAGCACGUUUGCCUCGCACCUAUAGGGUUGGGGGUUCGAAUUCCUCCUCUGUCA